rnacentral:rRNA from 1 species
UACAGAGGUCCCAAGCGUUGUUCGGAUUCACUGGGCGUAAAGGGUGCGUAGGUGGUAGGGUAAGUCGGAUGUGAAAUCCCUCGGCUCAACUGAGGAAGUGCAUCCGAAACUGGCAGGCUUGAGUACUAAAGAGGGUCGCGGAAUUCCCGGUGUAGAGGUGAAAUUCGUAGAUAUCGGGAGGAACACCGGUGGCGAAGGCGGCGACCUGGGUAGAUACUGACGCUGAGGUGCGAAAGCGUGGGGAGCAAACAGG